UUUUUGAAACAUCAGUAUCGUUUUAGCACCAUAGACUUCAUGAAUAUAGGAAUCACUCCCGAAACCCCAUAUACCAUGACCGUAAUUAUCAUUUCAGUAUAGUCCUCAGUAGUUUAUUCUACCAGUCAGCUCCGGCCUAAGCAUCCUCUACGUAGGGGACCGAUGAACAUAAGUGAAUGAUCCAGUGCAAUAAAAUAAAGAAAAAGGCAAACUCCGGGAUAGGUGACCCUCACAAGGUCAUUUAAACCAAAAAGUUAUAAAAAUUUGCUGCAAAAGAAAAAGAAAA
rnacentral:lncRNA from 1 species